AUACCAGAGACUUGCACCUAGGGUAGUUGUGACAUAUAGCUGGGCUCAGCCCCUGGGUGUGACUCUUUUGAUUAUCCUCAGCUCUACCUACAAGGAGCACUGGGAAAUACAUCUUUGGGCCCCUCAAUUAGGUGAUGCGACUCCUCUUCCUGGACUCUUUCCUCAGGAGGUAUUGUGACAUAUUCCUGGACGAAGUACCCAGGAGAGAUUGUGACAUAUCUCUGGAACCAGAACCUUGGUGAUGUGACUAUUCUCUCCUGCUGAAGCCAUGCCCACACAAGGGAAAGUGACUUAUCACUGGGCCCAGCACGCAGGUGAUGUAAUUCUUCUGCCUGGUUUUUGUACCCAGGAGCCAUUGUAAUCUAUCUCUGGGCCCAUCAUUUAAAUGAUGUGACUAUCCUUUUCUUCCUGAGCCCUAUUCACAGGGAAAAUAGUGACACAUCUGUGGGGUUCUCACUGAAAUGAUGUUACUCUCUUGCCUGGGCUCACCUCCCAAGGGAACUGUGACAAAUUACUGGACCAAGCACCUAGGUGAUGUGGCUCUGACAAAGGAGAAAUUGUGAUGUACCACUGUUUCCAGCACCCAAGAGAUCUGACUCUCCUGUUUUGCAUGGGCCCUGCAUUUAUUGUGUAUUUUGACAUAUGGCUUGGUCCAACACCUAGGUGAUGUGACUCUCUACUUCUUCCUGGGCCAUGCCAAAGAAGAGGAUUGUGACAUAUCACUGGAUCCAGCACCUAGGUGAUGUAAAUCUUUUCUUUUGCUGAGCCAUGCAUAUUUUUGGUAUUGUGACAUGUCACUGGACCCAACACCUACAGAACUGGAUCAGAGGCUACUGAAUAAGCCCUGCCCAUAGGCAGCCUUGUGACAUAUGUCUGCAUCUAUCACCAAAGUGGUGUGACUCUUUUUCUGCCUGCAUCCUGCACAUAGAGAAGAUUGUGACAUAUCGCUGGGACCAGUAACCAGGUGGAUGGUGACUCUAAGACCAGGAUUCAACACACCUAGAAGGCUUCGACUCUGAUAUGAGUCACAGAAGGCUCUGCGACUCUUCUAUUUUCUCUAGGUCAUGCAAAUGGAGGUGGAUUGUGACAUAUCUUAGGGCCAACACAACACACAGUCUACAGGUGGAAUUGGGAGUCUCAUGCGUGGAUCCAGUUCAUCACUGAUAUUGUGACUCACGUACUUGGAUGCAACUCACAGGAGGUGUUGACUCUUUUACCUGAAACUGGGACAUGUGUGGAAUUGUGAAUCUUAGCCCUAGAUCUUCCCACAAGUAUGAUUGUGACAUAUA